rnacentral:rRNA from 1 species
GAUGAACGCUGGCGGCGUGCCUAAUACAUGCAAGUCGAGCGAACAGACGAGGAGCUUGCUCCUCGGACGUUAGCGGCGGACGGGUGAGUAACACGUGUAUAACCUACCUAUAAGACUGGGAUAACUUCGGGAAACCGGAGCUAAUACCGGAUAAUAUAUUGAACCGCAUGGUGCAAUAGUGAAAGACGGUGUUGCUGGCACUUAUAGAUGGAUCCGCGCCGCAUUAGCUAGUUGGUAAGGUAACGGGUUACCAAGGCAACGAUGCGUAGCCGACCUGAGAGGGUGAUCGGCGACACUGGAGCUGAGACACGGUCAAGACUCCUACGGGAGGGCGCAGUAGGGAAUCUUCCGCAAUGGGCGAAAGCCUGACGGAGCAACGCCGAGUGAGUGAUGAAGGUCUUCGGAUCGUAAAACUCUGUUAUUAGGGAAGAACAAAUGUGUAAGUAACUAUGCACGUCUUGACGGUACCUAAUCAGAAAGCCACGGCUAACUACGUG